CGUGUAGGUGGACUGAUCAGUCAGGUGUGAAAGCCCGCGGCUUAACCGCGGAACUGCAUUUGAAACUGUCAGUCUUGAGUACGAGAGAGGGUAGUGGAAUUCCCAGUGUAGCGGUGAAAUGCGUAGAUAUUGGGAAGAACACCAGUAGCGAAGGCGGCUACCUGGCUCGUAACUGACGCUAAUGCGCGAAAGCGUGGGGAGCAAACAGGAUUAGAUACCCUGGUAGUCC
rnacentral:rRNA from 1 species